rnacentral:lncRNA from 1 species
CCGCAUCCGGCCUCAAUUUUAUAGUUGUUAGCACUGCUUACCAAAUAUCUCUGCCUCCCAGGCAUGUAGUAGAAUUGCAAUUCCUAGCCCACUUGUGAGUAGGAGGGGAAAGUGACUAGUAUCAGUCAAUGAGUUGUGAGCAGAAAUGAUGUGUGUUAUUUUUGAAACAGAGCAUCUAAUUGCUGCUGCAAGACACUCUAGAAUUUUCAUUUUCUUCUGGCAUGGUGAUCAGCGAUGUUCUAUAUGGGAGUGGUUUUUGUCAGUGUGAGUACUUAGGUGACUAUAGUGAGGAAUGCCUGAUAGCUAAUAAAAAUAGUGUCCCACGAUGGGCAUGUAGCAUGAGUAAAUAUAGAUCAAUAGAUAGAUAGAUAGUACAUAGAGAUAUAAAUAUAAAAAAAAUAAAUAUUUCUAUCUAUAAAUAUCUAUCUAUAUCUCUAUCUAUUAAUAUCUAUCCAUCUCUCUAUGUAUCUGCUUUUUAAAGCCACUGGAAUUGAGGCCUAUUAUUGCAGCGUAUCCUAGCCCACCCUGACUGAUACACUGAGGGUGCCAGCUGAAAAGAUGGACAGAACAUCAUUGGGCCACUCAAAGAGGUCAUGGUUGAUGCCUGGGAGCCUCCUGGAACUCACCCCUACAGACCAAAGUCACAGAAAUCUCAGCUUCUGCUGUUUCUUCCCUGUGUGGGGCGUCUAUUGUGAUGAUAGAAUCCUAAAAUGCUUGAACUGAAAGGAACCCCGGGGAUCACCACUCGCCCUAUUUCUUCGUGUUAUAGAUGAUGAAACUGACGCCCAGAUAAAUUAGAGUCCAGCAAAAGUUAGUGACAAAAUUACGAAGCAACCUAGCUUAGAAUGCAGGCAGAAGAUGGGAAGGAGGAGGUGGUAUUUUUUGAACUCCUACUGUGUGCCAGGCUUAAAACUUGCAAUCCCAUUUAAUUUUCAACUGAGGGCUUUUCAAAGCAAGGGCAGUGAUGGUACAGGAAAGGGGUCCCGAUCCAGACAUCAAAAGAGGGUUCUUGGAUCUCAUGCAAGAAAGAAUUCAGGAUGAGUCCAUAGAGUAAAGUGAAAGCAAGUUUAUUAGGAAAGUGAAAGAAUAAAAGAAUGGGACUACUCCAUAGACAGAGCAGCCCCAAGGGCUGCUGGUUGCUCAUUUUUAUGUUUUUUUUUUUUUGAUGGUAUGCUAAACAAGAGGUGGACUAUUCAUGCCUCCCCUUUUUAGACCAUAUAGGGUAACUUCCUGACCUUACCAUGGCAUUUGUAAACUGUCAUCGUGCUGGUGGAAGUGUAGCAGUGAGGAGUGAGGACGGCCAGAGGUCACUCUUGUCACCAUCUUGGUUUUGGUGGGUUUUAGCCGGCUUCUUUACUGCAACCUGUUUUAUCAGCAAGGUCUUUAUGACCUGUAUGUGGUGCUGACCUCCUAUCUCAUCCUGUGACUUAGAAUGCCUUAACCCUCUGGGAAUGCAGCCCAGUAGGUCUCAGCCUCAUUUUACCCAACUCCUAUUCAAGAUGGAGUUGCUCUGGUUCACACACCUCUGACAGUGAGUCUCUACGUGGUUGAAGGACUUGGCCAAUGUCACAAAGUGCCCAGUGGAGGAGCCAGUAGGGAGGAGGCUGUGUGGCCUCCCUCUGAAGCCCCAGUUUGUUCUUUAUUCUACAGCCUGGUGAAAUCUUGAAAGUGGACUCUAUCUGCUCUGAAAGCACUCAGAAAUGGAAGAGAAAGUAAGGUCUUCCCUCAGUGACAUGGCCUGCACCCUCUCACCUUGCCCAGCAACUGCUUCUGUUCUCUUGCUCUGAAUUGUCCUUUGCAACCUACUAAGGCAUGUUGCCUGCAAGGAUCAUUUAGAAUGUUGGACAAGGCUCCUCGAGAUCCCUAGCAGCUAGGCCCAUAAUCUCAGCACUGUGAUUCAACUCAGGUUUAGCAUAUACAUGCCUAUUUUUGUUUCUUCACUAGAAAGCUGUGUUGCUAAAGGAGGUGGGAAAUUCACUUGGGUUUACCAAAUAGGAAAUCAGUCUAGAACCAUCUUUGUGGGCUGGGUCCCACCCCAGAGCCCUUUCCAAACACAUGAGGAUUGCAAUAGUGGUAUUUUCAUUUCUGCCUCCACUUCUGUGGCAAAUGGGAUUUCAAGGUCACAAAAACAAUCUCAUUUUUUACGCUCCUUGACUCUUUGUAUUCAUGGUUCAGUAUUAAUUUUGUUUAUUCUAGUUGGUAU